GGAAGGACAGUACAGAUUUCUCUAUCAGAGUGAGGUAGUAGAUUGUAUAGUUGUGGGGUAGUUAUUUUACCCUGUUCAGGAGAUAACUAUACAAUCUAUUGCCUUCCCUGAGGAGUAAAACAAGUCUGCAGCUCUUA
rnacentral:pre_miRNA from 14 species